UAAAAAACAGCAGUGAGUCUCCUCAUCAGACAGAUGCCUGCCAGCUCAGUUGAGUGCACCUUUGACCAGUAAUAGGUCCACGUCGGAGGAGAAAAAACGAGCACAGGCGGAGGGAGUAAGUUCGGUGUUUGUCCACAACAAAAACUGGAGGUUCCACACCGAGAUCUCUUCUGCGUUUGGACAUUACGGGGUGGAAAAGAGUCCAGGACACUGACGCUCGGACGUCCUCAACAGAAUAUCAGAAGCAGGUCCACAGCAAACACAGCCCCCUGGGAGAACCCACCUUGCCAACCGCUGAGUGGGUGUUGCUGAGGGUGAUUAAGAGGAAGUGGCCAGAACCAUGCUGGACCGGUCCCUACCACGUAACUGAGAGAACAUCCCAUGCCGUCCGCCUGAAAGGAAAGGGGGACACCUAGAAGGAAACAGCCAGCUCCCAUUGGAGCCAGUGCGCGCCAGCCAAGGAGACAGGCAGAAAUCUGACGGACACGACCGAGGACAUUAAACUCAUAAACUGAACUGUGUCUUUUGCUUGGUAGACCAAAACAGCCGAGUUAAGUUGCGUGCGGGCUCCGAAGGACUCUGUUAAAUUGGGCCACUCGGUGUUGGAAUAGCCACAUAUAGUAAGGACACCUCCCCCGAUAAAAACACUACAUUUUAGAGUCUCACAUUACAUGAAGAAAACUUGGGGGCUUAGGAGGAUUCAAUACCCCCAAGCAACGCCAGGGGAAUGCCCCUGUGUACGUGUGGCACAUUCUAAAAGUAAUAUUUUCUGUCUUGUUUUUGAAUUUAA